AUUGAACGCUGGCGGAAUGCUUUACACAUGCAAGUCGAACGGCAGCACGGGGCAACCUGGUGGCGAGUGGCGAACGGGUGAGUAAUACAUCGGAACGUGCCCAAUCGUGGGGGAUAACGUAGCGAAAGUUACGCUAAUACCGCAUACGAUCUACGGAUGAAAGCGGGGGAUCGCAAGACCUCGCGCGAAUGGAGCGGCCGAUGUCAGAUUAGGUAGUUGGUGGGGUAAAGGCUCACCAAGCCGACGAUCUGUAGCUGGUCUGAGAGGACGACCAGCCACACUGGGACUGAGACACGGCCCAGACUCCUACGGGAGGCAGCAGUGGGGAAUUUUGGACAAUGGGCGCAAGCCUGAUCCAGCCAUUCCGCGUGCAGGAUGAAGGCCUUCGGGUUGUAAACUGCUUUUGUACGGAACGAAACGGUUCUCUCUAAUACAGGGGGCUAAUGACGGUACCUGGGGAGGAAGCCACGGCUAACUACGUGCCAGCAGCCGCCGUAAGAC
rnacentral:rRNA from 1 species